rnacentral:rRNA from 1 species
GAAUGGCACCACGAAGGUUACACUGUCUCCUUUUUCUAAUCAGUAAAACUAAUCUUCCCGUGAAGAAGCGGGGAUCCUUAUAUAAGACGAGAAGACCCUAUGGAGCUUUAAACGAAAUAACAUCUACCAACUCACCUAACAAUUUCAGAAAAUUAAUACUAAACUUGGUAUAAUGGUUACUAGUUUUAGGUUGGGGUGACCGCGGAGCAAAAAACAACCUCCGCAUUGAAUGGGCUUACACUCCUAAACAAAAAGCCACAACUUUAUGUAUCAACACAUUGACAUCCAUUGACCCAUUAAUUUGAUCAACGAACCAAGUUACCCUAGGGAUAACAGCGCAAUCCAUUUCAAGAGCUCCUAUCGACAAAUGG